GGAUUUCUUUGUUGAUUACCAAUAUAAAGAUUCAACAAAGGAAAUGCGUAGAAGAAAUACUGAAAAUCGGAAAAAACAGACAAUUCCACACACAGGUGGCUCCAAAGCGAAUGCUACGAGAAGGGCAGAAAUGGACAAAGACCUGGACGAGCACAAAUAUAUAUUGCUACUCAUAAAAAUAAAGAUGGAGUAUAUGUUAAUGAAGCUGCAAAAGAAAUAUGUGAAAAAAUUGAGCUAACUUUGAGCCAAAGUACCAUGGAUGAGUCUCAAAUUUCGCCAAAUGAUGCUGUUGGUAAGGUUUUAGGAAAAGAACACUCUGGAAGGGUUAGAUGUUUGGGAUUAGGAGUUGUCCCCAGUAAAAUUUUUAAACAAGUAAGACCGCGUUUUGGUGG